rnacentral:rRNA from 1 species
AUGGCAAUGUCGAGGCUCAUACGCUCAGCGACAAUCAGCCUCAGCCUAGACACACCUGACGAGAUCAGGUGGAACCUGGAAGCCAGCGGCUGCUACUCCGCUUCCUCUGCAUACAGCGCAGUUCCAGGCGAACUACACCACCAGUUUCAGGAUGCUUAUCUGGGAGAUCUGGGCGCCGGGGAAAUUGUGGAGAACACCAAACCAGAGCAUGGAAAGGGCAUCAAGUCCGUCAUGGUGCUGAGGUUUGGUGGAGUGGAAUCGAUGCACUUUCAGGAACAAGGAGGCCUCUGUCCAAGAGAUCCUCAAACCUGUGCUAGAACAAGGACAAUAUCGCCGAGAAGGCACAGCGGGUCCUCGACAGCUUCCCCGAGAGGGGCCUCCAUUCACUAUAGCAAUUGCUUACCAGGGAGACCGGCCGGCAAGGCACCUCGGGAUAGGGACCAACAUGCACCCGUCGGCGGCGCUGUUCGGCCGCCGCGGCAGCGACAGCGGCGGUGCCGGUGGUCGGUGGAGGAGCUGGUGGAGAGCGCGGACGGGUUCGCGGGCGUGUUCCCGAAGCACAGGCACGAGAUCGUGCGGCUCCUUCAGGCCAAGGGCCACGUGUGCGGGAUGACGGGCGACGGCGUGAACGACGCGCCGGCGCUGAAGAAGGCCGACAUCGGCAUCGCGGUGUCGGAAGCGACGGACGCCGCCAGGGCCGCCUACGGCAUCGUGCUCACUUCAGUUCAGAUACCAAGAAACUACACGUCAGUUGUGGUAGUUUCUACCUCGUCGAUACAGAUUAAUGAUGUGUGCAUCACCAUACGGAUGGUGGUUGGGUUUGUUAUUCUGGCAUGGAUAUGGGAGUACGACUUCCCUCCAUCCAUGGCUCUCAUCAUAGCCAUACUGAACGACCGUAAUGACCGGGUUAAACCGCCACGGAGCCCGGAAAGCUGGAAGCUCAACGAGAUAUUCGCCACCAUUAUCGUCAGCAGAACCUACCUCGCACUGGUCACGCCGGUCUACUGGGCAGUCACCAGAACCACAUUCUUCGAGGUUAGCACAUCCAAGACUGAACUGAUGAAACGUCUCUUUCGAUCCAUCGCGCUGAUGUUUCUGAAACUGCAGUCUCACUUCAAGGUACGUGUACAGCCUCUGAAGGGAGACGCCGAGGUGUCAUCGGCGGUGUACCUGCAGGUUGAACAUCACCAGCUAGGACCGGAUACUCGUGACCCGCAGCGGUGCCUCUCCUUCCUCGACCGGCCGGGGGCUCUGCUCGGCUGCGCUUUCGUCGUGGCUACACUGGUGGCAGUGUACGUCACCGUCGGCUUCGAGUCGAUCAGCGGGUGGCUCUUGGCUGGCGUCAUCUGGCUCUACAGCAAGGUUGCAAAUAAGUAA